rnacentral:rRNA from 1 species
UACGAAGGGGGCUAGCGUUGCUCGGAAUCACUGGGCGUAAAGCGCACGUAGGCGGAUCUUUAAGUCAGGGGUGAAAUCCUGGAGCUCAACUCCAGAACUGCCUUUGAUACUGGCGAUCUUGAGUCCGGGAGAGGUGAGUGGAACUGCGAGUGUAGAGGUGAAAUUCGUAGAUAUUCGCAAGAACACCAGUGGCGAAGGCGGCUCUCUGGGACGGUACUGACGCUGAGACGCGAAAGCGUGGGGAGCGAACAGG